GAGUGGGGGACAAUGGCCUGCUGCUCACCCGUGACUCCCAAGCUUCCCCCAAGCUGUCAAAACGAAGGGGGGAGGGGGAAGGCCGCCGACAAUGUGGCAUAGCUCAGCCCCUUCCCCCUACAGCUUGGAGUAGGCUUGGGAGUCGCGGGUGGGCAGCGUGCCGAAUGUCACCCCCCUC